rnacentral:rRNA from 1 species
UACGAGUGGUGCAAGCGUUAUUCGGAAUCAUUGGGCGUAAAGGGUGUGUAGGCGGUAUAUCAAGUCUGUUGUUAAAUCUCUCAGCCUAACUGGGAAAAUGCAGCGGAAACUGAUGUGCUAGAGGAUGGAAGAGAGAAGUGGAAUUCUCGGAGUAGCGGUAAAAUGCGUAGAUCUCGAGAGGAACACCGAUGGCGAAGGCGGGUCUCUGGGCCUUACCUGACGCUGAGGAGCGAAAGCGUGGGGAGCGAACAGG